UGGGAUGAGGAAACAGAGCAGGCUCAUGGAAGAGCACAGGGAAAGAAGAAUCGCGCUUGAAAUAAUGUUGCCGGAAUAAAACCACUCCAUGGAAGCAGUGCUUGAGCAGAACUGAGUGGAAAUUUGAGAGAAAUAAGAGAGGGCUCAAAAUAUCUGAGGAACGGGGAUACUACCAGCAGAUCGAGCUGGUCCAAAGGCCCUGAGGUGGGAACAUGCAUGGGUGUUUCCUAAAGAAGGCAUCUUCAGCCCAGCUGCGAUUCACAGAGGAAUGAAUCAGGCUGGCACCCUCAUCAUGGCCAGGGGAAGAAGAGAAUGAGGUCUCGUCCCGCAAUACAAGAUGAUUGCCAGUACUAUCAGGAAGAGUAGACCACAUCCAGAAGCCCCAGUGAUCCACUUCCCCUGCGCUCAGAGGUGUCCACUCCCACUAUAAAUCAGCGCUGCCCAGUCUCACAAAGACAAGGGAAGUGCUGUUCUCUGACUCGGGCAGCAGCUUUCCCUCCAACUCUUGGGUGACUCACUCUGAUAGAAGCCAGCUGCCAUGUCACAAAGACCUUCCAACAGGCCAGUGAAGAGGCCACGUGGAAAAGAACUGAGGCUUCCAGCCGACAGCUGGCCUCAACCUGUCUGCCACAUGAGCGGGUCAUAUUCAACCUGGCUCUCCAGAACUCCUGGAUCUGCCAGCCUCCAGGUUACAGCAGCUCACCAACAUCUUCAUGACUGACCUUGAGCAGAUUCACUUAGGUGGACCAUUUUUAAAUUCCUCUCUCAGAAACUGUAAGAUAACAAAAGAUCAGACUUCUGCCUAUGAAUGCUUUAAGUUUAUCUUUUGUU